AUGGGUGCGCACUGGACGCGUCGGGCGCGCCGGGACCGUGGGCGCGCGUAUGAGCGUGCGGUUGAUGUUGGGAGGAGGCGUAUGCCGCCGUUGUGCUCGAGUCCGUGCUCGAGUUCGGCUACAUCCUUCCGGCGUUUGUCGCUGGCGGCUGCCAUGGCGGACGGAGAGGCGGCGCGCGGUGAGCGUCUGGUGCAGUCGGGCUCGUCGGACGCGUCGGGUGGGCGCGGGACGUGCGGGAUGCACUGGUGCGGUCGGGCUCGUCGGGCGCGUCGGGUGCGCGCGGGACAUGCGGGGCGCAGAGGGACGCUAGGCGUGUGUUGCCGACGGAGAAGGAGCUCGGCGUAUGUCGCCGGGGUCGUGACGGAGCACGGUGCGACCGGCGUCAGUGCGCCAGGUCGGGUCCGUGGCGGUGCGACCGGCAUCAAUGCGUCGGGUCGGGUCCGCGGGCUGGGUCACGGCCGUGACGAUGACAAUGACAGGAGCUGCAACAACUCCGAUGACGGCGAGCAGGCGGCACGUCACAUCGUCGGACGGAGACGGUCAAGGCGACGGUCGACGACUAGCCAUGUCAAGAUUAGGGGGAGAAUUGUUAGGCAUAAUCUUUGA
rnacentral:rRNA from 1 species